CUUAGACAGAAUCUGGUUUCUUCAGCUCGACACGUUGAGCAGGUGGGUCGCGUUUGCAGCACCAGGUGAAAGAUUGACGUUGAUGCUCUUAUAACUCAGGUUCCUGUGAAGCGUAGAGAUGAGGCAAAUCCGUGCCGGGAUUAUCUUCCACUUUCUCACCUCGCACAGGUGUGGAGAGCUGAUAUGGCCCAAAAACCCACAUGCUCCCGAUGCACCAUGGGAAGAAGCGGGACAGCUGUGAGAGGGAAGCCACAGGUUUGCACAGACGAUCAGACCAUUUCCAUUUCAUACGAAUGGGUGAAGAAAAAAAUGAAUCGCUUUAAAAUAUUACUCUGAAAAAGUCCUGCCUGAACUCUAAAAAAUAAAAAUUUGUAAAUAAAUGUGAACAUUUUUAAAAAUCCAAUGUUCAAGGACAUCGUAAAGUAUUAGAAAUUGGAUGAUUCAAAUUAAUUGUACGCCUCUAAACGCACAUAAAACAGGAUACAGGCA